UCGGAAGGUACUGUGGACUGAAUGUCCUUCGAUUCUUCAAGCAAGAUUAUAUAUAUUUUGGUUUUUCAACUUGAUCCCUUCCCAACUGAUCAGAGAAGUUCGGGUUAAGGAUCAUUGGUGCUGCAUUAGUCAGCAGAUGGUCUGCCGGUGCUCAUACAAAGGGCCCCGCCAUUGACCAAAAUCAUCCACUGGCUGCACACGGAUGCAGGACGGCGCUUACAGAGAAGUCCCGUCAUGGCCUCCGCAGGUAUGGUCCUCGCUGUAUCAAUCAAGUCCCAUUGAAAUAUUGAAACGUUGUUCAUACAUCUUUGAAUGACCUUUUAUGUGCUGACAAUAUGUUCUGAAAUGAAGAGAUUUUACCCCUGAUGAAGUCUUGGAACAAGACGAAACGCGUUGGGUUAUUUAUCUAUCUAUUAUCUGAUGUUACCUCCGAAUCUGCAAUAAGGAGAAGGAGGAAAUCGUAGUGAUAUAUCUACGCUUUUUCCUCAUCACUACAAACUGAUUGUUCAAAUUGUGCGACAAAUGUAAAUGUAUCAACUCUGUAUACUUAUGAACAUUUGUGUCGGGUUUAUAUGUUGUUUUAAUAAAUUUUUAUGUUAGUAUUUGUUAUCUGAUGUAAUUUAUCCGGAGAGUACUGUAAGGGUCCGUUUUUAGGUAGGGCGUUGAUAUA